rnacentral:rRNA from 1 species
UUGAUAGUACCUUACUACUUGGAUAACCCGUGGUAAUUCUAGAGCUAAUACAUGCUAAAAACCCCAACUUCGGGAGGGGUGUAUUUAUUAGAUAAAAAACCAAUGCCCUUCGGGGCUCCUUGGUGAUUCAUGAUAACUUCUCAGAUCGCAUGGCUUUACGCCGGCGACGGUUCAUUCAAAUUUCUGCCCUAUCAACUUUCGAUGGUAAGGUAUUGGCUUACCAUGGUUUCAACGGGUAACGGGGAAUUAGGGUUCGAUUCCGGAGAGGGAGCCUGAGAAACGGCUACCACAUCCAAGGAAGGCAGCAGGCGCGCAAAUUACCCAAUUCCGAUACGGAGAGGUAGUGACAAUAAAUACUGAUACAGGGCUCUUUUGGGUCUUGUAAUUGGAAUGAGUACAAUUUAAACCUCUUAACGAGGAACAAUUGGAGGGCAAGUCUGGUGCCAGCAGCCGCGGUAAUUCCAGCUCCAAUAGCGUAUAUUAAAGUUGUUGCAGUUAAAAAGCUCGUAGUUGAACCUUUGGCCUGGCUGGCAGGUCCGCCUCACCGCGUGCACUUGUCCGGCCGGGCCUUUUCUUCUGGAGAACCGCAUGCCCUUCACUGGGUGUGUUGGGGACCAGGACUUUUACUUUGAAAAAAUUAGAGUGUUCAAAGCAGGCCUUUGCUCGAAUACGUUAGCAUGGAAUAAUAGAAUAGGACGUGCGGUCCUAUUUUUGUUGGUUUCUAGGACCGCCGUAAUGAUUAAUAGGGACAGUCGGGGGCAUCAGUAUUCAAUUGUCAGAGGUGAAAUUCUUGGAUUUAUUGAAGACUAACUACUGCGAAAGCAUUUGCCAAGGAUGUUUUCAUUAAUCAGUGAACGAAAGUUAGGGGAUCGAAGACGAUCAGAUACCGUCGUAGUCUUAACCAUAAACUAUGCCGACUAGGGAUCGG